UGAAACAUCAUUAGCCUCCAAGGGAG
rnacentral:piRNA from 1 species